GAGUUUGAUCAUGGCUCAGGACGAACGCUGGCGGCGCGCCUAACACAUGCAAGUCGAGCGGGAGUGAUUGAGGGGUAACCCGAGAGCACUUUAGCGGCGGACGGGUGAGUAACGCGUGAGCAACCUGCCUUUUACAGGGGGAUAACGUGCCGAAAGGCACACUAAUACCGCAUGAGACCACAAGCAUACAUAUGGAAGGGGUCAAAGGAGAAAUCCGGUAAGAGAUGGGCUCGCGUCCGAUUAGAUAGUUGGUGAGGUAACGGCUCACCAAGUCAACGAUCGGUAGCCGACCUGAGAGGGUGAUCGGCCACAUUGGAACUGAGAGACGGUCCAAACUCCUACGGGAGGCAGCAGUGGGGAAUAUUGGGCAAUGGGGGAAACCCUGACCCAGCGACGCCGCGUGAAGGAAGAAGGUCUUCGGAUUGUAAACUUCUGUUUCUUGGUGAAAGAGGGAAAGACGNAGCCAAAGGAGGAGCCCCGGU
rnacentral:rRNA from 1 species